GAAAAUAUUUAACUCCUCAGGGACGAUGAGGCCAGGAAAACCAGUGUAGGAAUGUUGCAGAAACGUACUGGUUCGUUGAAGAGCCAUAACCCUGGAGUCUUGACUAAUGGCUCAUAACCCGUGCUGAGGGAGGUCUCCAGUGGAGUACUAAAGAGAUCUUCCCUUGUCUCUAUCUUUGCAACAUUUUCGACUUAGAUGAAGACGUAGAAGGUUUACGUUUCUUCGCGCCGAAGCAAUCUUUCAAAAGUUGCUUUAGUGAAGAUCUGUUGGUUGUAGAGUCUGUUACACUUUGUAUGUCUGACAAGAACUUCAUUCUACCCUCACCUUCAAAGACUAGUUGAACUGAACGCAAUGUUCUAGAACGACAGCUCUUCCAUCGUCUUUUGGCAUGUACUGUUGCAUGGUAGGAAUCUACCGUCAGGUCUUGUUCCUCUGUAGAUCAUCUGUUCUCUCCACUCCACGGCUUUUAAGGAAUUCUGGAAAGUGGGAAGUCCAAGACCAGGGCAAAGAUUCGGUGCCAGUGAGAACCCAGCUCUUGGUUCCUAGAUGGCUGCCUUCUGGCUGUCUCCUCACAUGGCGUGAAGAAAAUGAAAACAAAAUGAUAGAGCCCUCUGGGAUCUCUUUUAUAAGUGCAGUGAUCCCAUUCAUAAGGGACCCACCAUUAUGAUCUAAUCAUCUCCCCAAGGCUCCACGUAAAUACCGUCGUAUUGGAGACUAGGUUUCAAUAUACAUGUGAGGGAUGAGAAGGACACAGGCUUUCAGUCUAUGGCUUGUAGCCUGUACUCUUUUGUGUCAGGUUCCUUUUGCUCUUCUGCAUUGCUGUGUGUGUCAGCAAUUUAUUCCUUUUCAUUGUUGAGCGAUAUAACAGUAUUUGUUUGCCCAUUCUCCUGUCAAUAGACAUCCGGGAUGUUUUCAGUUUGGGGCUAUUAUGAGCAGAACUACUCCGAAUAUACUUGUGCAAGGCUU